UCAACUCCCAGAAUUCCCCAGCAAGCUGGCUGGGGANAGAAUUCCCCAGCAAGCUGGCUGGGGAAUUCUGGGAGUUGA
rnacentral:pre_miRNA from 1 species